UUUACUUUGAGACAUGAUAGGAAAAUUCGACAAGUACACAUGGAAAAAUAAGACGUGAUCACAGUGAAAAUUGGAGACAAACCAGAAACCUUUAACACUUGUCAGCUAAUGUGGAAGCUAAAGUUCUGAGAGGGACAUGCUGCAAGGCUGACAGGAAUGGUAAACGGUGUUCCUCUCUUUCUUCCUCACCCUCUCCUUCAACAGAAUCCACACCAAUCUCCUCAUAAUUCUUCUCCAGGGCAGCUAUGUCCUCAGAGGCCUCAAAAAACUCUCCUUCCUCCAUGCUUUCACCCACUUACCAGUGAAUAAAUCAUACAUACAUCAGGUGAAUCUUGGGGUCCAGGCGAGCCCAGGACUCAGCAAUGGCUGUGGUAUUGCUCAGCAUGCACACAGCUCAUUGUACUUUGGCCAGGUCUCCACCAGCUACCACAGUGAGAGACCUGUAAUCAAUACCAACUUUGAAGCCAGUGGGGUACCAUCCCACAAAGGGGAUGCUUGGUCUUGUUGGUGGCAAUGGCAGCACUGACAUCUUUGGGAACCACAUCGCCAUGGUACAACAGGCAGCAAGCCAUGUAUUUACCAUGGUGAGGGUCACAUUUCACCAUCUGGCUUUCUGGCUCAACUCACAUACUAGUGGUCUCUGCUCAGAGGACUGUUCAUGGUAGGUUUUCUCAGUAGAGAUGGCAAGGGCAUAUAUGGCCAGAGGGAAAUGGAUGUGGGGAUAGGAUACCAGGCGGGUCUGGAAUUCUGUCAGAUUGAGGGCUCCAUCAAAUCUGGGGAAAGCAGUGAUGGAAGACACAAUCCAGCUAAUGAAGCAAUUAAGAUUAGUGUAGUUUGGGCACUCAAUAUCGAUAUUUCUAUGACAGAUGUCAUAGAUGGUCUCUUGUCUAUCAUG
rnacentral:lncRNA from 1 species